rnacentral:rRNA from 1 species
ACUCCUACGGGAGGCAGCAGUAGGGAAUCUUCCACAAUGGACGAAAGUACUGAUGGAGCAACGCCGCGUGAGUGAAGAAGGGUUUCGGCUCGUAAAACUCUGUUGUUAAAGAAGAACAUAUCUGAGAGUAACUGUUCAGGUAUUGACGGUAUUUAACCAGAAAGCCACGGCUAACUACGUGCCAGCAGCCGCGGUAAUACGUAGGUGGCAAGCGUUGUCCGGAUUUAUUGGGCGUAAAGCGAGCGCAGGCGGUUUUUAAGUCUGAUGUGAAAGCCUUCGGCUCAACCGAAGAAGUGCAUCGGAAACUGGGAAACUUGAGUGCAGAAGAGGACAGUGGAACUCCAUGUGUAGCGGUGAAAUGCGUAGAUAUAUGGAAGAACACCAGUGGCGAAGGCGGCUGUCUGGUCUGUAACUGACGCUGAGGCUCGAAAGUAUGGGUAGCAAACAGGAUUAGAUACCCUGGUAGGAUAGCG